AAAAGUUUGCCGGCUUCCGCAGUGAUGGAUCACCGUUUUAGUGGCAUUUAAAUCCCCGGCGCUCCGCCGUCUAGGUGACGCGCAGUCGCCCCCCCAGGCAGCCUAGGCGGCGGCAGCUGCUGCGGCGACUGCAAAGGCCGAUUUGGAGUGCUGGAGCGAAGAAGAGCAAAAGCUGCGUUCUGCGCGCGCCCGACUCCGCUGCCCGCCCCGCCAGGCCUCCGGGAGGUGGGGGCUGGGAGGCGUCCCCCGCUCCCGCCCCCUCCCCACCGUUCAAUGAAAGAUGAACUGGCGAGAGGUCUGUUUUGCCUGAACCCAUCAACAGCUGGGAGAUUAAUCAACCACACUGAAAAUGUGGAGGGAUUUAUGGGGGAGGGGGUUGAAAUGUGGGUGUUUGAAACAAAAGUGUAUAAACAAAUGAAUUGUUGAUAACUUAGUUAUUGACCUGGAGACUGGUAGCUUAUUAAAGAAACUCCGUGUUACUCAUUCCUGGAGUUGGGGGUUUCUGUAGGCACUUUAUUUCUCCACUUUCAAGAGCUUGGGCUUGGCCCAAAUCUUAGACUGUCCAAUUCUGCCUCUAUUACCAAUUUAAAUCUAUGGCUUGAACCUGUGCACUGAAAAUCAAAUCCUUUAAAAAGAAAGAGGAGAAGAAGAAGCAAAAAAGAAAGAAAAAACACUUAUUAGAAGCCCUAGUCAUUUUUUGGCUUUCUGUUUUGUUGCUGUCCAUUGAAGACUUUGAACAUGCCGCCUUAAUAAAUGUAUUAAAAUUGAAAAAAGAAAAAAAAA
rnacentral:lncRNA from 1 species